rnacentral:lncRNA from 1 species
UUGAGUGCUCAUUAUAUAUUUAUUUUGAACACUUAAGAAAACAAAACGUACGAACGAACAGGAUUACAGGCUAAACACAGCUAUGCAAUCACAACUUCCCACAAAACCCAUACAAAACACACCCCUCUAUAUAGGACCUUCAAUCAGAGGCAAUGUGGAGCAGCUGCCUCCAAUUGAAGGCCAAAUCAAUUAACUAAACAUAGAACUAAAAAGACUAGACUAGAACAUAGCCCCAAAAACCCGGAAAACACUAACCAAACACCCCUCUACAUAAACACACACCCCGAACCACAUAAAACAAAUACCCCCUGCCACAUCCUGACCAAACUACAAUAACAAAUAACCCCUUUACUGGUCAGAACGUGACACUGAUGUAAGAUCUUAAUUUGAGCCAGUAUGUUACAGUAUGUUACAGAAAAUGAUCCUGAAGCAACAGGAAAUGUGAAUUAUUAUGUGGAUUAUAAUUCAUGGCCAUUUUUUGUAGGGGUUGAUACAUAUUUUUUAGGGCUAAUCAAGUCUGACAUUUUAAAAUGGAAAUUGCAAAUUUUAAAAGCCUUUAAAAACCUUGUAUGCACAACAAGUUGCAUUUCCUCAGCAAGAAAAUAAUGAUCAAAUUCAGAUGCCACAUCUGUAUAGGGACAAUUCCAUUGCAAAACCUGACAAUAAUUUUCAAUAAAAAAAAGACCACCCAAAAUAUAAUUGAAUCAAAGUAUCAUUAUGUAUUGAAAGGUAACUGUCCAAGUAAAGGAAACACCUACAUAAAGUAUCUUAACAGGGUGUUGGACCACCACGAGCAAUCAUGAGCUUCAAUGCACCUUGGCAUAGAUUCUACAAGUGUCUGGAACUCUAUUGGAGGGAUGCGAAAUCAUUCUUCCACGAGAAUUUACAUCAGUUUGUGUUUUGUUGAUGGUGGUGGAAAAUGCUGACUCAGGCAACGCUCCCAAAUCUCCAAUAAGUGUUCAGUUGCGUUGAGAUCUAUUGACUGAGACGGCCAUGACAUAUGGUUUAUAUCGAUUUCAUGUUCAUCAAACGAUUCAGUGACCAUUCGUGCCCUGUGGAUUCUAUGGGGGCAUAACCAUGGUAGCCAAAAUAAUGGCCUGCCCAGCAUUUUAUACAUGACCCUAACCAUGAUGGGAUGUUAAUUGCUUAAUUAACUCAGGAACCACACCUGUGUGGAAGCACGUGCUUUCAAAUAUUCUUUGUAUCCCUUGUUUACUCAAGUGUUUACUCUGCUUUCAAAAAUACAAUUGAAUCAAUGUAUCAUUGUGUAUGUAUCUGUAGCCAUUGCGUCACCUUUCAUUAUAUUGUACUCAACUUAAAUCAAACUCAGAACAAUUUUGUGCGAUACUAGAAAAAGAAAAUCAGAGAGUUGGCAAAACCCCUUUUCCACUCUCUGUUUGGACUCCUACGAAAGUCAGUCCAUUGAAGUAUGAAUCUUGCAGAGAGUUUUGGCAGAGGUGACGAUUCCGGAACAGCUCAUGUCAUCAAAGCCUGCUUCACCUGUAGAGGAGAAUGUCCUUGUGAGUUGCAGGGCAAGACAGAAAAAAAGGUACAGCUGUUUACCCUUCACUGAAAGUAGCCAAUAAAAAUGACAGAAUUGUCUAUUUCUGUAUUUAACCAGAGCUCCUCUACAGCUAUAAAGCCCACGAUGGAGUGAAUUGACAUUCAAUUGUACUCCUGCUCACCCAACAUCUACAGACCACAGAUCCUUAUACUAGGGAUUCCAGAAAGGUUGUACAGUAUAUUUGUCCAGACGGUUGUGAGUUUGUGUUACUGACCAUUGAUUUUCAGCAGUGCCAAGCAGUCCUCACUCUGUCCAUUCAUGUUACGCUGAGAACCUCUCAUCCAGUUCUUCUGGGGAAAUCCAGACUGUCAGGGAGAAAAGGGAAAAGUCAACGUCAGCAUCUACUUGGUGGUCAGUAGUACCUAAGGUCCUUGACUAAUAAAAAUAAAUAUGAAAUUAGAGUACUCCAGGAAUAAGGAAUAGCUGUUGUCGAAAAGCUAGCAUGUUCGCAAGUAACGGUUGGGUCGAGAAAACCCUGGAGGACAUGGGUUCUGAUUUGGCCAUGGUGGGGGCCUUCUGGCAAAUCUCUCCACUGGUGCAGCUAAUCGCAGAUACCCUGGUGGAGACCUCCCUGAGAAGAAGACAGAUAUUUCACAUCCCUGCAAGCUGUAUGUUGCAAGAAUAAUUACCACAAUAACAGAUUAAACCAAAAAUCUUGAGAGUAAAUUAUGGAAAAAUGUUCUAUGUGUCUGGAAAGGAAAUGGGAUUGAGCUCAAGAAUGGCUCUCACCUCAGUCCCCAGGAAGGUGAAGAGGACGCAGAGAAGAACAUAUACAGUCAUAACUCCCAUGAUGACCUGGACAAUGGUGGUGCUCUGGUGGUCUCACUGCAGUUCUUUUCAUGUACAGAGUUAUACCAACACAAAGUCAGCAAAGAGAAGAUGACCUCUGCCUUCCUAAAAAAGUAUUCAGAAAGUUCAGGUGUCUUCUCAGUCAAAAUGUAAGGCCUUAUAAACAGAGAUGUUGAGAAGUUCUGCUCGAG